rnacentral:lncRNA from 1 species
ACCAAAUCCCAUAAACCAUGAACCAAGUUCAUGAAGCUUAUCCAAGUUCGUGAACCAAACACCACGGACCAUACCCAAGUCCCAUAAACCAUAAAUCAAGUUCGUGAACCAAACACCACGAACCAUACCCAAGUUCAUACACCAUGAACCAUAAACCAUACACCAUACACCAUGAACCAUAAACCAUACACCAAAUUCAUGAACCAUAAACUAUGAACCGUAUCCAUGAACCAAAUCUCAUGAACCAUACCCAAGUUCAUAUACCAAAUUCAUGAACCAUAUCCAAGUUUGUGAACCAAACACCACGAACAAUAAACCAAACCUCAUGAACCAUACCCAACCUCAUGAACCAAGUUCAUGAACCACGAACCAAAACCCCAUAAACCAUACACCAAGUUCAUGAACCAUAAACUAAACCCCAUGAACCAUACACCAAGUUCAUGAAACAUGAACCAAAUCCAUAAACCAAGUCCAUAAACCUCAUGAACCAUAAACCAAGUUCAUGAACCAUGAACCAUGAACCAAGUUCAUAAACCUCAUCCAUGAACUAUAUCCAAGUUCAUGAACCAAAUCCCAUACACCAAACCUCAUGAACCAUAAACCAUAACCCAAGCCCAUGGACCAAAUCCCAUGAACUAUAUACCAAACCUCAUGAACCAUAUACCAAAUCCUAUGAGCGAUACACCAAACUAUAUCCAAAUCUCAUGAACCACAUGAACUAUAUCUUAACCUUAUGAACCGAAUCAUGUUCAAAUCCUACAUACCCAAAUCUUAUGAACCAAUACCCAAAUCUCAUACCCAAAGUUCAUCAUAAACCUUUUUUUUUUACUCUAACUCAUAUACCCAUAGUGAAAAUCAAAUAUCGACUACCCCUAAUACAUAUACUUAGGGCUAAGUCAAUCGCCUUAUCACAUAUAACGAAGGCAAAAUCAUCUCCAAAUCGACAG